ensembl:ncRNA W06F12.7 ncRNA
UCAAAAAAUGUCUAUGUUUUUAUAUACAUUUUCACCCAACCCCUGGAGGGUGCCACCCGGGUGCACGCGCACGUGGUGUGACGAACCAUUAAAAAAAAACAAAUCCCCAAGUGUUCUUCCGUUCCCGCACCACCGCCGGACACACAUAU